CCCCCCCCCCCGUAUGUAUAUUACCAUCCAGGAGCGUUGGGUUAGGACUGGUACACAUGUACCAUUCAAAUGCGGUCCAAAAGUUUCUGAAUGGAGCAACACCACCCAAACACAAGGCGAUAUGCCAGCCAGGAGUGAAACAUGGGUGGAAAGGUGAUGACGCCUUCCCACUGGCCUGUCUGUGGAUCCCUGUCUGUGGAUCUUCUUGAGACCUUCAACCUGCGGGAUGAUGUCAGGAGGUGUUGCUGGCCAACUUGUUCACUGUGGGCAAUCUGUUAAAUUGCCACAAUGUCACAGUGUGGUAUACUGGUGGCAAAUGUACUCAGACUAGCAUCCCAUUCAUCUAUGUGCCUGGUCCAGAAAUUUGAGGGCAUCGUCUUGAAUGGACAACCAAUUGUCAACGAGUAUGACUGCCCACUGUUGACCCUAACGGAUACGAUUACUGGAGUCUACCCUGUUGACAUUUUAAUUGAAACGUCAAUAGCAUGAAUGUACAGACACUUGUGAAUUUGUCAGUAACGGACCGCUCAAUGUCCUACAAGUUGAACGAGUCGAACGAGAGACAAUUCCAACAAACAGAUUUGUAUACAUGCCAGACUGGACGUACAAAACGAUACAUAACGAUACAUAAGUGUACACACAUUUUGAAUCUGACCUGUUCACCUAAUGUUCAGAUUCACAAAUGAUCAGUAUAUGGGACUUCCGAUACACACUGUGCCAGUUCCGAUACAGAAUGACUGUGAUAUAUUAAUCUGUGUAAAACUUUAUGAUGAAAUGAAACACUGGCUUCGGAAUCAAUCGGCUAGCACAGAAAGUUGUUUGAUGUAGCAGCCUCAUUUUGGAGUAGUCACUUCUCUAAACUAGCUGAAAAUGAAAAUGAAAAGGCCGGGAGUGGUACCUUUUAGUAAUGAACGUGUGGGUGGUUCAUGGCGCGACUGUUGCAAUAGGUCCCACUCCUUGCACCAGAUCUUAGUACACAGAGUGAUGAUGUCAUAUGAUUUAACAGGUGGUGGUCCAGUGGAACCUCACAUUUAGAUACAAAAACGAAGGACUAAGAAUAGAGGAUGACCCAGAGGAUGCUUUAGCUCCCCAUCAAGUAUGUAGAAAAUUAAG